rnacentral:rRNA from 1 species
UGCCAGCCGCCGCGGUAAUACGGAGGGUGCACGCGUUGUUCGGAAUUAUUGGGCGUAAAGCGCGCGCAGGCGGGUUAUCAAGUCAUGUGUGAAAGCUCCCGGCUAAACUGGGAGAGGUCAGAUGAUACUGAUAGCCUGGAGUGCAUCAGAGGUAAGUGGAAUUCCGCGUGUAGUGGUGAAAUGCGUAGAUAUGCGGAGGAACACCAGUGGCGAAGGCGGCUUACUGGGAUGCAACUGACGCUGAGGCGCGAAAGCAUGGGUAGCGAACGGGAUUAGAUA